rnacentral:rRNA from 1 species
GAUGAACGCUGGCGGCGUGCCUAAUACAUGCAAGUCGAGCGAACGGACGAGAAGCUUGCUCCUCUGAUGUUAGCGGCGGACGGGUGAGUAACACGUGGAUAACCUACCUAUAAGACUGGGAUAACUUCGGGAAACCGGAGCUAAUACCGGAUAAUAUUUUGAACCGCAUGGUUCAAUAGUGAAAGACGGUUUUGCUGUCACUUAUAGAUGGAUCCGCGCUGCAUUAGCUAGUUGGUAAGGUAACGGCUUACCAAGGCAACGAUGCAUAGCCGACCUGAGAGGGUGAUCGGCCACACUGGAACUGAGACACGGUCCAGACUCCUACGGGAGGCAGCAGUAGGGAAUCUUCCGCAAUGGGCGAAAGCCUGACGGAGCAACGCCGCGUGAGUGAUGAAGGUCUUCGGAUCGUAAAACUCUGUUAUUAGGGAAGAACAAAUGUGUAAGUAACUGUGCACGUCUUGACGGUACCUAAUCAGAAAGCCACGGCUAACUACGUG